rnacentral:rRNA from 1 species
CGAUCGCCAGCUCUAUACGACUCACUUCAGGGCACGCCCUGACUCCUCUGAAAUCACGGGCCCCGGUCCGAUUAGCUCAGUAACACGUGGAGAACGUGCCCUUAAGUGGGGGAUAAUCUCGGGAAAUUGAGGAUAAUACCCCAUAGGUCAUGGGAUCUGGAAUGACCCAUGGCUGAAAGUUCCGGCGCUUAAGGAUCGCUCUGCGGCCUAUCUUGUUGUAGUGGGUGUAACGUACCCCCUAGCCUACGACGGGUAUGGGCCUUGAGAGAGGGAGCCCAGAUUUUUACUACUCUUUAUACGAAUCCAGGCCCUACGGGGCGCAGCAUUCUUUUUAAACUUCACACUGGGGGGAACCCCGAUGAGGGAAUUCCUAGUGCUUGGGCAUUUGUCCAAGCUUUUCCCGAGCGUAGAUAACUCGGUGAAUAAGGGCUGGGUAAGACGGGUGCCAGCCGCCGCGGUAAUACCUGCAGCCCGAGUGGUGGUCGAUUUUAUUGAGUCUAAAGCGUUCGUAGCCGGUCCGUUAAAUCCUUGGGUAAAUCGGGAAGCUCAACUUUCCGACUUCCGAGGAGACUGGCGGACUUGGGACCGGGAGAGGCCAGAGGUACUUCUGGGGUAGGGGUAAAUCCUGUAUCUAGAGACCACGGUGCGAGCGUCUGGCAGACGAUCGACGUGAGGACGAGCUGGGUCGCAACGGGAUAGAUACCCGGUGUUUCAGGGUGUUACACCCCUCCCCCACAUUUGUUUUUGC